UGCUGCAUCCAACUGCCAGUCCAAUAGCUCACACUGUCAAUAUGAAGUUGUUUCUUGUUAUUUUAUUGUCACUGUUGUCAGGGGGUCACUGUGAUGUGCAACUUGACCAGUCAGAGCCAGUGGUGAUAAAGCCGGGAGGGUCUCACAAACUGUCCUGCACAGCCUCUGGCUUCACAUUCAGUACCACCUGGAUGAACUGGGUUAGACAGGCUCCUGGGAAAGGAUUACAAUGGUUGUCUAGUAUUUAUGAUGCAAGUAACAUACACUAUGCUGAUUCAGUUAAAGGAAGAUUCACCAUCUCCAAAGACAAUAAUAACAACAAGUUAUAUCUGCAAAUGAACAAUCUACAAACUGAAGACACUGCCGUGUAUUACUGUGCUAGAGACACAGUGACAAAUAGUCUCAGAGCAGUGCAACAAAAAACAUUAAUGCUGUCCUUCCAUGAUUCUCCAGUUGGGGGCAACAAAAGUCCAUUCACCACCCAUAUUUAAGGCAAAACAAACGGAACAUGCAAGAAG